rnacentral:rRNA from 1 species
UCGUGUCGUGAGAUGUUGGUUAAGCCCGCAACGAGCGCAACCCCUACGUUUAGUUGCUAACGCGUGAAGGCGAGCACUCUAGACGAACUGCCGUUGACAAAACGGAGGAAGUGGGAUGACGUCAAAUCAUCAUGCCCUUAUGUUCUGGGCUACACACGUGCUACAAUGGCCGGUACAGACGGACGCAAAGCCGCGAGGUGGAGCAAAUCCUAAAAAGCCGGUCUCAGUUCGGAUUGCAGGCUGCAAUUCGCCUGCAUGAAGUCGGAAUCGCUAGUAAUCGCAGGUCAGCAUACUGCGGUGAAUACGUUCCCGGGCCUU